GCCGGGCGGCUGCGCUCCCGC
rnacentral:miRNA from 1 species